rnacentral:rRNA from 1 species
UGACCUCGGAUCAGGUAGGUAUACCCGCU